AACGAACGCUGGCGGCAUGCCUAAUACAUGCAAGUCGAACGAGUGGCGCACGGGUGCGUAACGCGUGGGAAUCUGCACUUAGGUUCGGAAUAACACCUGGAAACGGCUGCUAAUUACGGACGCCUGAGGAGGAGCCCGCGUUGGAUUAGGAAGUGGGUGGGGUAAAGGCCUACCAAGCCGACGAUCCAUAGCUGGUGUGAGAGGAUGAUCAGACACACUGGGACUGAGAGACGGCCCAGACUCCUACGGGAGGCAGCAGUGGGGAAUAUUGGACAAUGGGCGAGAGCCUGAUCCUGCAAUGCCGCGUGGGUGAUGAAGGCCCUAGGGUUGUAAAGCGCUGUUGCCCGGGUAGCUGUACCGGGAGAGUAAGCCCCGGCUAACUCCGUGCCAGCAGCCGCGGUAAUAC
rnacentral:rRNA from 1 species